UAUCUCUAGUUUCUUUUCAUUCACUCAAAUCUUUCGCCUUUUACUAAAGAUUUCCAUGGAGAGGAACGUCAAUGAGUUUGACAUAUUUUUGUGGGAUUGGGAUUUGCUGUGGCAAA